rnacentral:rRNA from 1 species
AUUGAACGCUGGCGGCAUGCUUUACACAUGCAAGUCGAACGGUAACAGGCCGCAAGGUGCUGACGAGUGGCGAACGGGUGAGUAAUGCAUCGGAACGUGUCCAGUCGUGGGGGAUAACUACUCGAAAGAGUAGCUAAUACCGCAUACGAUCUAUGGAUGAAAGCGGGGGACCGUAAGGCCUCGCGCGAUUGGAGCGGCCGAUGUCAGAUUAGGUAGUUGGUGGGGUAAAGGCUCACCAAGCCAACGAUCUGUAGCUGGUCUGAGAGGACGACCAGCCACACUGGGACUGAGACACGGCCCAGACUCCCACGGGAGGCAGCAGUGGGGAAUUUUGGACAAUGGGCGCAAGCCUGAUCCAGCAAUGCCGCGUGCAGGAAGAAGGCCUUCGGGUUGUAAACUGCUUUUGUACGGAACGAAACGGCUCUGGUUAAUACCCGGGGCUAAUGACGGUACCGUAAGAAUAAGCACCGGCUAACUACGUG